UACGUAGGUGGCGAGCGUUGUCCGGAUUUACUGGGCGUAAAGAGCGCGCAGGCGGUCGUGUAAGUCGCGUGUGAAAGCCCCCGGCUCAACUGGGGAGGGUCACGCGAUACUGCUCGACUCGAAGGCAGGAGAGGGAAGUGGAAUUCCCGGUGUAGUGGUGAAAUGCGUAGAUAUCGGGAGGAACACCAGUGGCGAAGGCGACUUCCUGGCCUGUUCUUGACGCUGAGGCGCGAAAGCUAGGGGAGCAAACGGG
rnacentral:rRNA from 1 species